AAGUCGUAACAAGGUCUCCGUUGGUGAACCAGCGGAGGGAUCAUUACCGAGUCUCGUACUCCAAACCCUUUGUGAACAUACCUGUUUCGUUGCUUCGGCAGGCCCGGGGGUCACACCCCGGCCCGCCGCCGGCACCCCCUCGCCGGGGCGCAUGGCGGGCCUGCCGGAGGGCACAGACUCUGUAUUCAAAAACGUACCUCUCUGAGUUAUCUUUACAAACAAGUAAAAACUUUCAACAACGGAUCUCUUGGUUCUG
rnacentral:misc_RNA from 1 species